CUACGGGGGGCUCCAGCAGGGAAUAUUGCACAAUGGACGGAAGUCUGAUGCAGCGACGCCGCGUGGAUGAUGAAGGCCUUCGGGUUGUAAAAUCCUUUUCAGGGAGAAGAGGAAGGACGGUAUCCCUGGAAUAAGCGUCGGCUAACUACGUGCCAGCAGCCGCGGUAAUACGUAGGACGCAAGCGUUAUCCGGAUUUACUGGGCGUAAAGCGUCUGUAGGCGGUUUAGUAAGUUUGAUGUGAAAGCUCCAGGCUCAACUUGGAGAGUGCAUUGAAUACUGCUAGACUUGAGGGGAUCAGAGGAAAGAGGAAUUUCCGGUGUAGCGGUAAAAUGCGCAGAUAUCGGAAAGAACACCAGUGGCGAAGGCGGCUUUCUGGGAUCAACCUGACGCUGAGAGACGAAAGCUAGGGUAGCGAACAGGAUUAGAUACCCUAGUAGUC
rnacentral:rRNA from 1 species